AUGAUUUAUCAUAGUUUAAUGUCUUAAAAUGUGUGGGUAGUAAAGCUUAUAUGCAAUAAUUUUACUUAUAUUUGUUUGGUAUAAGACUUAAACAGAUACAUUUACAACAAUGAAGCUAGUACUGUUCACACUUAUUGCGUUAGUUGCUUUUGCGGCUGCGCAACACCGAUGCGAAUCACCAAGUGUCUUCGAAGCGAGAUCAUUCUCGUACGACCACCACACUGGUUACUUCUCCGCUGGACGCCUUGCUUAUGAUGGCAAACUAGAACGCGUUCGUGUAAUACAUGAUGUGUACGAAAACAGUACCGAAGACCACUUCGAUACACUUUACGCUUUUAAGGAGAAAGCAGAAUACCGUGUUAACCUAAAGACAAAAAAUGUGUGAAGUCAUCACUGACUGAAAACUUCUUUCCAAUGGGCGUUUACCCCAACUCCACGUAUGCGGGAAGUUUUAUCCUUGGAUCUUUGAAUGCACCCGGAACCGGUGUCGUUGUGCAAGAGUGGUACCACAAGACCGCCGAAGGAGGCUAUUGGAUCCAGCUGUUUACGGAGCAUGGUUGCAUACCGGUUCAGACAUUAAUGUUUGGAAAGAAUUCCGCUGGAAAUGAAGUACACUAUCAUCACGAUUAUAUGGACGUGACUCUUGGUGUGAAAGAUCGAGCUAUCUUUGACGUCCCGAAGGAAUGCUUGUAAAUUUAAUAAUGAAUGGCAUAAUUGCUAACCAUGCAUUAAUUGUGUUUCUGCAUUUAUUCGUGAUCUGUACGUCAAUAAAAUAAACCCAAAUAGAAA